ACCUCAAGGCAGCUCGUCCGCCUGUGAGGCAGGAUUUCCGAGGAGCCCACUAGGUGGUGCGUGAGCUGCGGCGAUGGUGACCGGCUGCGCUGGACCAGUCACCGCCCGCCUCCCAGGACCCCCCUCAGGCCAGAGGCCCCCAGCUCACAAGCCGGCCCUGAAUCAUCCCCGUUCCUGGGCCCGUCUCCACGUUCUUUCUCUGGGAAAGCAGGGCCCAGGCUUCUGCUCCCUCUUCAAUACAGCACACAUGAACACUUUGGGAGUGUCACCUUAAAAAUAAAAAACACAACGUGAGAGUUGAGAGUUAAGUUUUACUUGGGACAGAAUGAGGACUAGAACCUGGGUGGCAGCAUUCAGAGAGACCCAAGAAACUACUCCAAAAAACUGGGACCUCAGUGAGUCCGGACACCAGGCCAAGUGUGGAAAAGAAAGGAAGAAGGAAGAGAGGAGGCAUCCGUUGAUGAACUUCAGAUGCCAAGAUAAAGGAGACUUGCUUUUCGACGAGAUGACACUGGCCCUGCUGGUCGGGCUUCCGGGGAGAGGAGGUCUGAACUGCUCGGCUGCUGUCUACUGGCUGAUAAUGGGAUGAAAACAACACACAUCAAACAGUGAGCGGGGCUGUUAACAAGGUAGCCCUUCCUGGGAUCCUGGCGCCUUCAUCCAGUCAGGCCGGUGCCUUGAGCACCCACCCAAAAGUGGCGAGGGGAGUUCCUUGGGACCCUUCAAGUCCUAGCGUGUGGGUGAGAGCCCCCGGCUCCAGGAACGGCAAGCGGCAGGUAAGUCUUCCUGGAAGGCGCCGUCCCCCUCUCCGGGCUGGCUCUGCAGCCUUUCCCUCGGAGUCACACUGGCUCUGCAGCCUUUCCCUCGGAGUCGCAGUCUAGGAAGCAGGCUCCUCGCUAAGUAUUUGGCAUUUGAUCCUCAGAACGGUCAUCUUGCCGGAACUCGGCCUCUGUUCGCUGGUGCUCAAUAGAAACGCGGAGACGGAGCUUUGGAUGAAGUAGAGAAGGCAGGCCUGAUUGCUUUGCCAGGAAGGGGGGGCCACAGCGGGCCAGGGCCCUCGGAACUUUUGGGGGGGCGGUGAGGAGUCUCACAGUGUCAAGGAGCAGAGCGUGGCCAGCUCGUGGGCGUUCUUCUGAUGGGUGGGUGGUGAGGUCACGGGGAGUCCGCGCCGUCACCCCUCUGGUUCCAGUUGGUCUGGGGUCUCCGUGCUUGUGGGCAGCACAUGGUUGGCUUCCUCCCCGUGGUGGGGGUGAACCGCUCCGAGGACAUGGCUCAGAAUAGUAUCUCUGGUCUUUGAGAAAGAAUGUAAGGUCCUUGACUUUGUUGAGUGGCUAAAGUAUUAUUUUGUCUUGCUGGACUGCUUUUCCUUUCGCUUUGCAUUUUCUCACGUCUCUGAUUAAGUUUGAUUUUUUGGACUAAAGUUUUUCUACAGACCAAAGGCAGGCAGAGGACCUGGGGGCGGGGGCGGGAUCUGUUCUGGGAAGGCCCCAUAGCGUCCGGCUCGGUUACCCUAAAGAGAGGUAUUUUUUCCCCAUUUGACAGUUGGGAGAAGGGAACCCCAACAGCAAAAAUGUCUCAGGAGGACUCAGGCCUCCUGAAACAGCAUGGCCCCUGCUGCCCCUGUGGCUUUUCUGAAGAUGCAGCCCAGUUGAGUCUGAUUUGCUGAUUAUUGCAGACCUCUGGGCAUGAAGCUCUGAAAUCGAGAAGCGGGUGUGGCUGGUGAUGAACAGGUAAACCGCACAGUCAGCUCAGCUCAUGGAGAGUCCAGUGUCUGUUGUUGUUGCUGUCAUCCUCUGGGGAAGCCAGUUUUUAGUGCUCAAAGUUUAGUAAAACAAUUUCCUACACUCGUUUAAUCAUUUCCACUUUACAAACAAACUGAGGUUUCAGCAUACCAGGGAACUUGUCCUGGCUGAUUCUGCAGGUUACGGGGAGCCAGGACUUCUGACCCAAGUCUGGAGGGAUGCUUCUCUGGCUUGGAGGAUCAAUGAAAAAUCAAAUCUGAGUUGUUCCACUGAGGUGAUGGAGUGUGCGAUUACUACAGCCUCUUAGAUAUUUAAAAUCGUAUGUUGCAAAAGACCAGUCCUACCCAUUUGCUGGGUGAGCGGGUGUUGGUACCACAAGCCAUCCUCAUACUUAAGCACAGUGGAUUGGAACGUACGGCAAAUAAACAGCGUUUUUUCCUGGCUCAGUGAGGGUAACGGCUGCUUUUGAAGAAUUAUUGCAGGUGUUUCUAGGCGAUGAAUAAAGUUACUGAGGUCGUGCAGGUGGAGCAUCUAGGCAUGGAAUUUAGAAAUUUCAAGAACUCGAAAAUUUUCCUUCCACCCCCUCCAGCUCACACAGUGAACAUGAUUAAGCGCUUCACGGGGUAGGACCCUGCGGAGGCCACCGAGGUGGGCGACACGGCUCCCCUCCCAGACCCCAUGUGGUCGGGAAACUGCACUGAAGGGCUCUGGCCGCACUGCAGAGGGUCUCACGGUGUCCAGCGGGCCAGCUCCCAGGGGCCCUAACGGAAAGAAGAAUGGACGGAUGAAAAUCCGAAAGUCCCCAGGCCGUCCUCUCCCCACAGCCCGUCUGGAGGCACCCCAGAGGCCGACUGACUCUUUGCCUCUAAAUAUUUCAUCUGUGUGGCAACGGGACAGACUCAGGUGAGAAAACUGGAGUCAGUGUCACAGGGCCAACUUGGGCAGCCCUUUGGCGAGGCCACCUGCUUGAGUAGCCGGACGAUGGUAGUUAGGGAGGUCAGACGCCUCAUCUAAGCCCUCGCUUGGCCGCUUAUGGUCUGCCCUCCGUUUUGUCUUACUUUCUAUCAUAGGAUGAUGCUGAGGGGCC
rnacentral:lncRNA from 1 species